GACGGAAGGUGCAAGCGUUACUCGGAAUUACUGGGCGUAAAGCGUCCGCAGCCUUUUUAUUAAGUCUGAUAUUAAAGUUCGGAGCUCAACUCCGUGAUGUGUCGGAAACUGGUAAAAUAGAGUUAUCCAGAGGCAACUGGAAUGCCGUGUGUAGGGGUAAAAUCCGUAGAUCCACGGUAGAACGCCCAAAGCGAAGGCAGGUUGCUGGGGAUAUACUGACGGUCAGGGACGAAAGCGUGGGGAGCGAAGGGG
rnacentral:misc_RNA from 1 species